rnacentral:rRNA from 1 species
GGAUUAGAUACCCUGGUAGUCCACGCCGUAAACGAUGUCUACUUGGAGGUUGUGGCCUUGAGCCGUGGCUUUCGGAGCUAACGCGUUAAGUAGACCGCCUGGGGAGUACGGUCGCAAGAUUAAAACUCAAAUGAAUUGACGGGGGCCCGCACAAGCGGUGGAGCAUGUGGUUUAAUUCGAUGCAACGCGAAGAACCUUACCAUCCCUUGACAUCCUGAGAAGUUAGCAGAGAUGCUUUCGUGCCUUCGGGAACUCAGUGACAGGUGCUGCAUGGCUGUCGUCAGCUCGUGCCG